GGAGAGGUGGCUGAGUGGCCGAAAGCGGCGGUUUGCUAAACCGUUAUACUGGUUAAAACUGGUAUCCAGGGUUCGAAUCCCUGCCUCUCCGCCA
rnacentral:tRNA from 3 species